CUUCAAAACUACAUUUCUUGAGUUUGGUAGAGGAGAGUGGAAUUCCUAGUGUAGAGGUGAAAUUCGUAGAUAUUAGGAGGAACACCAGUGGCGAAGGCGACUCUCUGGGCCAAUACUGACGCUGAGGUUCGAAAGCAUGGGUAGCGAACAGGAUUAGAUACCCUGGUAGUCCAUGCAGUAAACGAUGAGUGCUAGAUGUUGGGAAUUUAAAUUUCCAGUAUCGCAGUUAACGCGUUAAGCACUCCGCCUGGGAAGUACGGCCGCAAGGCUAAAACUCAAAUGAAUUGACGGGGACCCGCACAAGCGGUGGAUCAUGUGGUUUAAUUCGAAGAUACGCGAAGAACCUUACCGGCCCUUGACAUACCAAUCGCGGACUUAAGAGAUUAAGUCUUUCACUUCGGGUGGAUUGGAUACAGGUGCUGCAUGGCUGUCGUCAGCUCGUGUCGUGAGAUGUUGGGUUAAGUCCCGCAACGAGCGCAACCCUUACCUUCAAUUGCCAGCACAUUAUGGUGGGAACUUUGAAGGAACUGCCGGUGAUAAGCCGGAGGAAGGUGGGGAUGACGUCAAGUCCUCAUGGCCCUUACGGGCCGGGCUACACACGUGAUACAAUGGUAACUACAAAGGGCAGCGAAGGAGCGAUCUGGAGCAAAUCUCAAAAAGUUACCUCAGUUCGGAUUGCACUCUGCAACUCGAGUGCAUGAAGUUGGAAUCGCUAGUAAUCGUAGAUCAGCGCGCUACGGUGAAUACGUUCCCGGGUCUUGUACACACCGCCCGUCACACCAUGGGAGUUGGUUUUACCUGAAGCUGGUUCGCUAACCGUAAGGAGGCAGCCAACCACGGUAAGAUUAGCGACUGGGGUGAAGUCGUAACAAGGUAGCCGUA
rnacentral:rRNA from 1 species